rnacentral:rRNA from 1 species
AACGAACGCUGGCGGCAUGCCUAACACAUGCAAGUCGAACGAACCCUUCGGGGUUAGUGGCGCACGGGUGCGUAACACGUGGGAAUCUGCCCUUUGCUUCGGAAUAACAGUUAGAAAUGACUGCUAAUACCGGAUGAUGUCGUAAGACCAAAGAUUUAUCGGCAAAGGAUGAGCCCGCGUAGGAUUAGGUAGUUGGUGGGGUAAAGGCCUACCAAGCCGACGAUCCUUAGCUGGUCUGAGAGGAUGAUCAGCCACACUGGGACUGAGACACGGCCCAGACUCCUACGGGAGGCAGCAGUGGGGAAUAUUGGACAAUGGGCGAAAGCCUGAUCCAGCAAUGCCGCGUGAGUGAUGAAGGCCUUCGGGUUGUAAAGCUCUUUUACCUAGGGAGUGAUAAUGACAGUACCUGGAGAAUAAGACUCCGGCUAACUCCGUGCCAGCAGCCGCGGUAAU